rnacentral:rRNA from 1 species
GUGGGGAAUAUUGGACAAUGGGCGCAAGCCUGAUCCAGCCAUGCCGCGUGUGUGAAGAAGGCCUUUUGGUUGUAAAGCACUUUAAGCGAGGAGGAGGCUACUGAUACUAAUAUUAUCAAGUAGUGGACGUUACUCGCAGAAUAAGCACCGGCUAACUCUGUGCCAGCAGCCGCGGUAAUACAGAGGGUGCGAGCGUUAAUCGGAAUUACUGGGCGUAAAGCGCGCGUAGGCGGUUUGUUAAGUCGGAUGUGAAAUCCCCGGGCUCAACCUGGGAAUUGCAUUCGAUACUGGCGAGCUAGAGUAUGGGAGAGGAAGGUAGAAUUCCAGGUGUAGCGGUGAAAUGCGUAGAGAUCUGGAGGAAUACCGAUGGCGAAGGCAGCCUUCUGGCCUAAUACUGACGCUGAGGUGCGAAAGCAUGGGGAGCAAACAGGAUUAGAAACCCUAGUAGUCC